GAUGAACGCUGGCGGCGUGCCUAAUACAUGCAAGUCGAGCGAACAGAUGAGGAGCUUGCUCCUCUGACGUUAGCGGCGGACGGGUGAGUAACACGUGGAUAACCUACCUAUAAGACUGGGAUAACUUCGGGAAACCGGAGCUAAUACCGGAUAAUAUAUUGAACCGCAUGGUUCAAUAGUGAAAGACGGUUUUGCUGUCACUUAUAGAUGGAUCCGCGCCGCAUUAGCUAGUUGGUAAGGUAACGGCUCACCAAGGCAACGAUGCGUAGCCGACCUGAGAGGGGGGUGCGGCAACCCUGGAACUGAGACAGGGUCCAGCCUCCUACGGACGGCAGCAGGGGAGAUUCUUCCGCAUGGGGCGAAACCCUGACGGAGCACCGCCGGGUGAGGAAGAAAGUUCUUGGGAUCUAAACCCUUUUUUUUUGGGAAAAAAAAAAGUUAUAAUAACUUAUCCCCUUCUGGACUGUACUAAAAAAAAAACCACCGGCUAACUCCGC
rnacentral:rRNA from 1 species